rnacentral:rRNA from 1 species
UACAGAGGUCUCAAGCGUUGUUCGGAUUUACUGGGCGUAAAGGGCGCGUAGGCGGCCUUCCAAGUCAGGCGUGAAAGCCCCGGGCUCAACCUGGGAGGUGCGCUUGGGACUGGCGGGCUGGAGUUCGGGAGAGGAGCGUGGAAUUCCCAGUGUAGAGGUGAAAUUCGUAGAUAUUGGGAAGAACACCGGUGGCGAAGGCGGCGCUCUGGACCGAGACUGACGCUGAGGCGCGAAGGCGUGGGGAGCAAACAGG